rnacentral:rRNA from 1 species
UACAGAGGGUGCAAGCGUUAAUCGGAAUUACUGGGCGUAAAGCGUGCGUAGACGGUUACAUAAGUCGGGUGUGAAAGCCCCGGGCUCAACCUGGGAAUUGCAUUCGAGACUGCGUAGCUAGGGUGCGGAAGAGGGAAGCGGAAUUUCCGGUGUAGCGGUGAAAUGCGUAGAUAUUGGGAAGAACACCGGUGGCGAAGGCGGCGACCUGGUCCGACACUGACGCUGAGGCGCGAAAGCCAGGGGAGCAAACAGG